rnacentral:rRNA from 1 species
GCGAACGUUAGCGGCGGGCUUAACACAUGCAAGUCGAGCGAGAAAGGGGCUUCGGCCCUGAGUACAGCGGCGGACGGGUGAAUAACACGUAGGUAACCUUCCUUUCAGCGGGGGACAACGGUCCGAAAGGACCGCUAAUACCGCAUACGUUCCCUGGGACCUCGGUCCUGGGGAGGAAAGGCCCGCAAGGGCCACUGGAUGAGGGGCCUGCGUAGCAUCAGCUAGUUGGUGGGGUAAUGGCCUACCAAGGCGAAGACGCUUAGCUGGUCUGAGAGGAUGAUCAGCCACACUGGGACUGAGACACGGCCCAGACUCCUACGGGAGGCAGCAGUGGGGAAUAUUGGACAAUGGGCGCAAGCCUGAUCCAGCCACGCCGCGUGAGUGAUGAAGGCCUCGGUCGUAAGAC